GGCAAUUGUUAAGUACAUUUACUCUUAAGUAUGAGCUAGCAGCUCUCUCUUAACAGAGUAACAACAAGCAUGUGAUUACACAUUCUCCUCAUAUGUACAUAGCUCAGGACUCGUAUACAAGAUAGAUUUGUUAUCCUCUCUGUUACUUCCCCAACCCCUAUUACUCAUUUAAUCUUAUUUCUGAUGGGAAAGCACAUAUACAGCCUUGUAGAUAGAAAAACAGGUAUGCCAUAUAGAGAUAAGAACACACCGGAGAUUUAUGUGGACACGGUGCAUUUUCAUCAAUAAAGUUACGAAAAGAAAGAGAAUAGCUCAACCAGAGAUUUGCAGAAAAGAUAUUAGCGGAUACAAAGGUCGUAUGUGGUGUCUAGGUGAGUCGGACAAUGUUUCAAACAUUCAACUGAUGUUGGACUUGACGGGAUAGGCAUCAUGAGUUAAAGGGGUCACAAUCUAGCUUGGAUGAAAUGGUGCCUGGUAAUCCUGUGCGCUCGUCCUCUGAAGUGUAGUUGUAGCAGGCUAACAUGUCAAUGAGAGAAGUCAGCAUCAAGAUGAAACCUACAUCAUCUCUCAAAGGAAACAUGAACAAAAUCAUGAUGAUACAAAUAAGAUCCCUCCAGUCAGGUGAACACCUUAUUUAACUAUAUGUAUUUACACUCAGAGACUCCUACAAUCAUCUAUACAGAUUCACCAAAUGACCAAAAAGUGAUGCUAAAAAGACACGCCGGCAAGCACAAAAAUUUCAGUUGCUCAACAAAACUCGAUGAAAAGACAGGCCAAGCUUGUUGUCAUCUAUGGAGCUGCACAUGGUCUCUUGAAACAUGGUGUGAAUAAAAAAUCAGAAGGUGAGAACAAGUAUUAGCUGCAAAUAAUCUAUAAUUAGGUGCCCAUGUGUUCCAACGGGGCCAUAAAUUUCCAGUGGUUCAGCAUCAAUUGUGUCAAACAUAUACCUCAUAAUACUACCCAAUUUAUUUUUCAAACAUCGUAGCUUUAAGGAGUUGCACACUGAGUAAUAAAAAUUGAAAUAAUAUUUAAUGAAUAAAAAUAUAUAGUUUUGAGAAUGUCCCUCAUUAUACAAGCAUUACUGAAAACCAGGAUCUUAUUAUCGGUUGGAAAUUCUUGUAAUAAAGUCUUGACUGAAUGAAGUUAUUAUGGCUCUACUUUUGAUAGAUUACUGAUGCCUUCUGCAAGAUAGCAUGUGACUAUAUAGCUUGAUGGUUCAACAAAUGAUACCGACCAGGCUAAUUAAUGCAGAAGCUACAUCAAAUUUUCUCAAGAGAACUGGACCCAAGUACACCAUAUAGGAAAUCAAAGGUAAUCUCUAUAUGACCAGCAAUAACCAAUGGAAGGAUUUCCAUCUAAUUCAGCCACACACACCACUUAGCAAAGACCUCAAAUAAAAGCAUGCUAGAAACCUACUUAUAACUGUAAUGAAAUGCACAUGUACUGAAACUGUGUACCAAAUUUACAUGCACGUUUGUUCUCUGGACAUAUCAUUCUACUCCCUCUGUUUCUAAAUAUAACUCUUUUUAGAUAUUUCAACACAUGCUACAUACGGAUGUAUAUAGACAUAUUUUAGAGUGUAGAUUCACUCAUUUUGCUCCGUAUGUAGUCCCUUAUUGGAAUCUCUAAAAAGCCUUAUAUUUAGGAACAAAGGGAGUAGUUUCUACAAGAAAAGGGUAAGUUAGCCUAAGAAUAAUGCACCAUAACCAAAUCUUGUCGGAAUCAUUUUUAUUUCAAACUAUCAAGUUACUUUCCUCUUGCAUUGAUGAACACAAAUAUCACACGGAUGGCCCGCGAACACAGCGUAUCCGCACAGGCGACCCGCAUCACACCAAGCCCAACACAACAGGACACACCCUGCAAUGGAUAGAGGAAUCUAAUGGAGAAUCAGCAAAUAUGAUACCCCGAGAUCUUACCUGACAUAUCAAAGGCCACCACGGAACCAGCAUCAUCCAAGCGAACAUGAAAGCCAUCAUCCUCAACGCUCCUUUAUUUUGCAGGACAGGUUUUGACACAUCAUCAGGUGUCUCUGCAAACAGAACAAGACCAAGAUCAACACAUCACACCACAUGCCUGCAAAAUUCGGAACAAGCAAAUAUAAUUCAAACAGAAAAGAACGAGGGCCAUCUUAUGCUAACUAUUCUGAAAUAAGUCAUCAUUUGAAAACAGGUAAACUUCUUAUGGUGCAUCACGUCAUGUUGACUUCACUCUAACAGUAAAUAGUAACAUAAAUAAAAAAAACUGUGAGGGCACAGGAG
rnacentral:lncRNA from 1 species